rnacentral:rRNA from 1 species
CCUGGCUCACGAUGAACGCUGGCGGCGCGCCUAACACAUGCAAGUCGAACGAGAGAUGAGGAGCUUGCUCUUCAAAUCGAGUGGCGAACGGGUGAGUAACGCGUGAGGAACCUGCCUCAAAGAGGGGGACAACAGUUGGAAACGACUGCUAAUACCGCAUAAGCCCACGGCUCGGCAUCGAGCAGAGGGAAAAGGAGCAAUCCGCUUUGAGAUGGCCUCGCGUCCGAUUAGCUAGUUGGUGAGGUAACGGCCCACCAAGGCGACGAUCGGUAGCCGGACUGAGAGGUUGAACGGCCACAUUGGGACUGAGACACGGCCCAGACUCCUACGGGAGGCAGCAGUGGGGAAUAUUGCACAAUGGGGGAAACCCUGAUGCAGCGACGCCGCGUGGAGGAAGAAGGUCUUCGGAUUGUAAACUCCUGUUGUUGAGGAAGAUAAUGACGGUACUCAACAAGGAAGUGACGGCUAACUACGUGCCAGCAGCCGCGGUAAAACGUAGGUCACAAGCGUUGUCCGGAAUUACUGGGUGUAAAGGGAGCGCAGGCGGGAGAACAAGUUGGAAGUGAAAUCCAUGGGCUCAACCCAUGAACUGCUUUCAAAACUGUUUUUCUUGAGUAGUGCAGAGGUAGGCGGAAUUCCCGGUGUAGCGGUGGAAUGCGUAGAUAUCGGGAGGAACACCAGUGGCGAAGGCGGCCUACUGGGCACCAACUGACGCUGAGGCUCGAAAGUGUGGGUAGCAAACAGGAUUAGAUACCCUGGUAGUCCACACCGUAAACGAUGAUUACUAGGUGUUGGAGGAUUGACCCCUUCAGUGCCGCAGUUAACACAAUAAGUAAUCCACCUGGGGAGUACGACCGCAAGGUUGAAACUCAAAGGAAUUGACGGGGGCCCGCACAAGCAGUGGAGUAUGUGGUUUAAUUCGACGCAACGCGAAGAACCUUACCAAGUCUUGACAUCCCUUGACGAUGCUGGAAACAGUAUUUCUCUUCGGAGCAAGGAGACAGGUGGUGCAUGGUUGUCGUCAGCUCGUGUCGUGAGAUGUUGGGUUAAGUCCCGCAACGAGCGCAACCCUUAUGGUCAGUUACUACGCAAGAGGACUCUGGCCAGACUGCCGUUGACAAAACGGAGGAAGGUGGGGAUGACGUCAAAUCAUCAUGCCCUUUAUGACUUGGGCUACACACGUACUACAAUGGCGUUAAACAAAGAGAAGCAAGACCGCGAGGUGGAGCAAAACUCAGAAACAACGUCCCAGUUCGGACUGCAGGCUGCAACUCGCCUGCACGAAGUCGGAAUUGCUAGUAAUCGUGGAUCAGCAUGCCACGGUGAAUACGUUCCCGGGCCUUGCACACACCGCCC